UUUGGUUAGAGUUUAAAUAAGUUGCCUAAGUCAAUUGAGAUAUUCAAUUUGGUUAGAGUUUAAAUAAGUUGCCUAAAUUAUAAUCUUAAUCCCCAAAGUACCUUUUCCUAAGUGGUAUUAUUUUAAUCCAAUUAAAUUUAAUUAGGGCAACAUUCCACAAUUUCAACCAACCAAAAACAACCCCCCAGCAGCCCAUUUAAAUAUCAGCUUCCCUAGCCCAAAAUCAAAUACAACUCCAAUCCCUCAUCAAGACCAAUAACAUAUCAGCCAGUCCAAUCUUCAACCCAAUAACUCCUGACCCGGCCCAUGUCAUCUCCUCUUCCCUUAAAUAACCUUAAAACCAAUAUAACCAAGGUACAGUCGGCUUCUGCCCUAUUCAACGUACAAAAACCAUGCUCCAUCCGUGACCCGUCUCACACCUGAAUCCGUCAAACCCAUCAACAAUAUCAAACAACCCGAUAUCAACCCCCAACGAUCUGAAAUCUACCCAUAACCAUGACCCAUCCCAGCGUAUGGCAUCAACAGCUCGAGAAUUCUCUAGAAAUAUAUAGGUGUCCGCUCCAACGGCUAGAGGCCGAAAAUUUCAGGAUGAAUGGUACAAAAUCAUACAUAGUUGCUCGAUUCUCAUUGGUUGGGGGAGAAAAAUUUCAUUCCUUCAAUUCCAUUGGUUGGAAAAUUUUGGGUUUCAUCAGGAAGAUUCCAAAAUUAGUUCAAUUGGCUGGCGGAAAACACUUUUGGGAGUUCAAAUUUUAAAUUCCCCUUUGGGGAGAAUACCGAAAUUAUUCUCAUUUGAAGCCCUAAAUAACCCCUAGUUUAUUCUCUAUAAAAGGAGGGGGGGAAUUCUAGGGUUUGGGAAAUGGUUUCAAGAAAUUAGAGUGAAAUUCCUUUUUUGGUUCUCUCUUUCUCUUUCGGGAGCCAAAGAAUUCUAGAGUCCAAAAUUGGGGUUCGAAAAUUUUGUCUCCUGAAAAUAAAAGUUUUUUUUUGUGAAAAUCUUCUCGUCCACUUUUUCUCUUUGGAAGCUGGUCGAUCAACUGGAAAUUCCAAAGUCUACAACAUCAUCUCUCGGUGGUAACGGUUCUACUGAAAGCUCGGGUUCCCAUUUUGCUGCCCCGAAGGAGGUAAACAUACCCUCGCCCCUUUUAACUUAUCGUUUUCUUCCUUAUUUCUCUUUCCUCGUAGAAGUAGUUAUCUGUUUGUCGAUGAAUGAGGCUGGGUUUUCUGUUGUAGAGGCCUUAAGGGCUAUAGGUUUCUCUGAGUGUAGUAAAUGUUAGAUUUCGGUUAAGUUGGAGUAGUGUUUGUUUUAAGUUGUUUAAUGGGUGACUGCUGUUAUAUCUAACUUGGCAUCGAUUUUGUCAUUUGCGCGUGAUAUUACUGAGUAUUGCUUGCAUUUAAAAGCUAUUUCCAUAACUAAAGGUUUCAUUUUUUAGGGGGUCGAGGAGGUUUUGUUCGUUGUUAGUAGUUGUGUUCGUUGUUAGUAGUUGACAUUGUUAGUUUGACGUUGUUAGCUGGUAGCAUCAUUAGCAAAAGCUCCUCUUAAAGUUCUGGCCAUGUGCUCCUUGUGGUAGAAUUUUAAAGUUCAUUUUUUUGGGAAUUUAGAUUAAGAACUUUGAGAAUUCGUUUUACCUUUGAGCUUUCUAUGUUUACUGUGUGUCUGUAUGAUUUACUCGCAAUUUUCAUGGUGCCUUUUGAUUCAAGAUGUCGAAAGGGGCCUGUAAGUUUGCAUAAUAUCAAUCCUGCGGAUUUCGAAUAUUCUAAGUCUUGUUCUUUUACAAUAUUUGAUAAAAAUGAGGGGGGGACUUGUUUAAGUUUUCAAGCUAAUCAAAUAAUUUUGGAAUCCGAUUAGGGCCUGCUCCCUCGUCAUUUUAUUAAGACUACAUAUCUUGUCCAAAUGGUUACGUCAUUUCCAGACUGCUUCACCUCGUGCCUUUGUUCUAUUUCUAAAAUGUGACUAGCAGAGCUUAUGUUUGCUUGAGUCGCAGAGGAGUUUAGAUUUAUAUAACGUCACUUUCAUCCCAAGUUUAUAGUUCAGUUGUGGCAUGAUUGUUUGUUGCUUUGCGAAUUGCCUAACUAUGAUGGCACAACUCUCUUUGAAUCGACUAUAGUCGAUGUGCUCAAUUUAUAGGUCGAAAUAACGGGAAGAGAUCUAGUUCUGAAACCCGUCUCUCCAAGUGUUGCACUAAUUGAUAAACUUUCUUGUAUUUUCUUUUGAUUCAGUAUCAUUCUCUUGGAUAUAUAAAUAAGUGAUUCUUUUUCAUAAACGUGUGAUUAUGUAGGAGCCUACUGGUGAAUUUCAAAGUUGUGCAUUCUAUUUCUCAAAGUGCUUAAAAUAGAUAAUUUGGAUCAGCCACUAUGGAUGGAUGCCAAUUUAUUUUUCAUUAAUUUCAAACUCCCUGAUUGAUGUAUGUUUCUUUAAAUUAUUUUAUAUAUCAUUUUAUAUCUUUUGUGUGUUGGUUGAAAAUUUAGAAUGGGCUUAAUUCAUUCAUUGUUUCUUUGCAUGGAUCUGCCUUUGAGUCCAAACGGACUCUUUCCCGUCGGAGCAUUAUCAAUUUGCGCCAUUGACGCCCAUCCCUCAUGAGCCGAUCUCAAAAUCCCUAAAAUGCCAAUUACGUGGCAAACGAAUACAAGGAGUCAAAAGAAGAAGAAUCAAACUCAAAAGCAUGAAUAUCAGAACAUUAAGCUAAAGGGCCCUGUGAUAGGGAGACCGACGGAUCGUCGGUGUCCUGACAGACCACUGCACCACACGUCACCACGAAGAAAAAAGGUGGACAAUUUAGAAUUAGGUAAUGGUCCACCCGACGGACCGUUGGAUCUGGAAUGGACCAUUAUUUUGUCUGACAUGACUAAACAGAACUCAUGGAAAAUCAUAUGGCAGGCGACGGACCGUCAGACUAGUGAUGGAGCAUCACCGAGGUCGUCAGGGUCAGCACAGUGCAGAUCAAUUCUGGAUAGCAGCGACGGUUCAGUCGAAAAAUUUUACCCUCUUGACGGUUCGUAAACGAGCUGUCAGUUAUGAUGCGGCAGCUCAGUUUUAAAAUUUCAAUUCCAACAUUGUUGGAGCCUAUUAAUACCCAGCUAGAAUAGGUAUUUUUUGACUAGGUGUUGAAUUUUGUAACAUACGUAUUAAUGAGAAACAAGUUUGGAGAUGUUGAACACAUUGCUUGUCGUUUGAAUUUGGAUUUUGAAAUCUUAUUUCUCUUUAUUGUA